rnacentral:rRNA from 1 species
UGAGGAAUAUUGGUCAAUGGACGCAAGUCUGAACCAGCCAUGCCGCGUGAAGGAAGAAGUGUCUCGGUAUGUAAACUUCUAUCAGCAGGGAAGACAAUGACGGUACCUGACUAAGAAGCCCCGGCUAACUACGUGCCAGCAGCCGCGGUAAUACGUAUGGUGCAAGCGUUAUCCGGAUUUACUGGGUGUAAAGGGAGCGCAGGCGGUGUGGCAAGUCUGAUGUGAAAGCCCGGGGCUCAACCCCGGUACUGCAUUGGAAACUGUCGUACUAGAGUGUCGGAGGGGUAAGUGGAAUUCCUAGUGUAGCGGUGAAAUGCGUAGAUAUUAGGAGGAACACCAGUGGCGAAGGCGGCUUACUGGACGAUUACUGACGCUGAGGCUCGAAAGCGUGGGGAGCAAACAGGAUUAGAUACC